rnacentral:rRNA from 1 species
GAUGAACGCUGGCGGCGUGCCUAAUACAUGCAAGUCGAGCGAACAGACGAGGAGCUUGCUCCUCUGACGUUAGCGGCGGACGGGUGAGUAACACGUGGAUAACCUACCUAUAAGACUGGGAUAACUUCGGGAAACCGGAGCUAAUACCGGAUAAUAUAUUGAACCGCAUGGUUCAAUAGUGAAAGACGGUUUUGCUGUCACUUAUAGAUGGAUCCGCGCCGCAUUAGCUAGUUGGUAAGGUAACGGCUUACCAAGGCAACGAUGCGUAGCCGACCUGAGAGGGUGAUCGGCAACACUGGAACUGAGCCACGGUCCAGACUCCUACGGGAGGCAGCAGUAGGGAAUCUUCCGCAAUGGGCGAAAGCCUGACGGAGCACCGCCGCGUGAGUGAUGAAGGUCUUCGGAUCGUAAAACUCUGUUAUUAGGGAAGAACAAAUGUGUAAGUAACUAUGCACGUCUUGACGGUACCUAAUCAGAAAGCCACGGCUAACUACGUG